AAAUUGAAGAGUUUGAUCAUGGCUCAGAUUGAACGCUGGCGGCAGGCCUAACACAUGCAAGUCGAACGGUAACAGGAAGCAGCUUGCUGCUUCGCUGACGAGUGGCGGACGGGUGAGUAAUGUCUGGGAAACUGCCUGAUGGAGGGGGAUAACUACUGGAAACGGUAGCUAAUACCGCAUAACGUCGAAAGACCAAAGAGGGGGACCUUCGGGCCUCUUGCCAUCGGAUGUGCCCAGAUGGGAUUAGCUUGUUGGUGGGGUAAUGGCUCACCAAGGCGACGAUCCCUAGCUGGUCUGAGAGGAUGACCAGCCACACUGGAACUGAGACACGGUCCAGACUCCUACGGGAGGCAGCAGUGGGGAAUAUUGCACAAUGGGCGCAAGCCUGAUGCAGCCAUGCCGCGUGUAUGAAGAAGGCCUUCGGGUUGUAAAGUACUU
rnacentral:rRNA from 1 species